rnacentral:rRNA from 1 species
AGUGAACGCUGGCGGUAGGCCUAACACAUGCAAGUCGAACGGCAGCACAGUAAGAGCUUGCUCUUACGGGUGGCGAGUGGCGGACGGGUGAGGAAUACAUCGGAAUCUACUUUUUCGUGGGGGAUAACGUAGGGAAACUUACGCUAAUACCGCAUACGACCUACGGGUGAAAGCAGGGGAUCUUCGGACCUUGCGCGAUUGAAUGAGCCGAUGUCGGAUUAGCUAGUUGGCGGGGUAAAGGCCCACCAAGGCGACGAUGCGUAGCUGGUCUGAGAGGAUGAUCGGCCACACUGGAAGUGAGACACGGUCCAGACACCUACGGGAGGCAGCAGUAGGGAAUUUUGCGCAAGGGGCGAAAGCCUGACCGAGCAACACCGCGUGGGUGAAGAAGGCCUUCGGGUCGUAAACCUUUGUUGUUGGGAAAGAAAAUAUGUGUGAUUAACCCUGCACAUCUUGACGGUACCUAAUCAAAAAGCCCCGGCUAACUACGUG